ensembl:lncRNA
GGCUUAAACAACAAAAAUUUAUUGUCUCAUAGUUCUGGAAGCUGGAAGGCAGAGAUCAAGGGGGCUGCAAGGCCGUGCUCCCCCUGAAGGCCCUGGAAGAAUCUGUUCCAGGUCUCUCUCAUAGUUUCUGAAAGUUCCUUGGCUGGUGAUAGCAUAACUUCAAUUUUCAUAUGGCAUUUUCCCUGUGUGUCUGUGUCCAAAUUUCCCCUUUGGACAAGAAAACUAGCCAUGUUGAAUUAGAGGCCCACCCUACCCCAGUGUGACCUCAUUGUAACUAAUUACAUGUGCAAAAAUAUCUCCAAAAAAAGUCACAUUUUGAGGUACUGAGGAUAGUUAUGACUUAACAUAUGAAUUUGAAGGGAUACAAUUCAACUUGUAACAGAGACAAACAGGGGUAGAAAUCAGCAAGGAACCAAGUAAUGAAAACCAUAGAGAAUGACCUUGAGCCCUAUGGGAGCAACGUGUGGUGAGUAAGCAGGGAAAUCAAAGACUAGAACUUGUUUAGGAAGGAGCACUACUUGGAGCGGAAUUCACCCCGGUCAUUCUUAGCUGUUCUUGAGACACCAGUGAAUACUUGUUCUUCUCAAACAACAUACUCAUUUAUUUUGUAUUUGCGUUUCCACUGAAAAUGGAAUGACGUUCAUUAAAAUUUCUUAAAAUUACAGGACCAUGAGAAAGAGAUCAGCGGUAAGAACUAUUCCAAAAAGAAAUCGGUGGUCAAUGUAUAUUCUCCUACAGAGACAAAAGAAAGCACAAUCAAAAAGUGGAACCAAGAGCCACACAAAACAUGGCACUAUGACACUGCCUAUCAGUGUCACCUCACCCACUGCCUGCUUAGGACGGGAAUCUGGAACUUCAGAAUAAGCACAAAGAAGAAUGCAAACUAAAGCAGUCCUAACCCACUAGAGUUGCAAUUAUGGAAGUUCAAAGUUACACUCAGAGAUGAUCCAGAUUUUGACAAAUGGCAUAGAGUUGUUACACUAUAAAUUUUUUAAUCACAAAAGUUACUUCAGCCCAAAAUUCUAGAAUUUUAAUUUCGUUUUGCAGUUUUCAUCUGCUUGGUUUAGAAUAGGACUCUCCCUCCCCAAAGCAGAUAUCCCUACACCUUUGGUCCACUGUAAACAUAUGGACAUGAUCCUUCCUGUAAAAGAGAUGUGUUCCAAUAAAUGUUGGUUAUAAUAAACACCUCUGUUUUCUGUCUGCUCCAGUUCUGUCAAAUCUGUGCUCACAAACGGAGGUAGACAAGGAAAUUAUCCAAGAGAGACACAACUGUAAUUAGAACAGCAUAAACAAAGCACAGCGUUGAUUUUUAUAGGUGGAAAACAAUGUCUUCGAUCCACGUCCCAUGUAGCCAUUUCCCUGGAGAGUGUGCCGUUUUUAUUUUCUCAUCCAGAAUAUGAAGGCCUACUGUUUUGCUCUGGGGGCAAGGGUGGGACGAUUGUUGCACAGGGGUUAUGAGAAGGGGUAGCCUCCAAAGGCUUGUAAAAAGAUCAAAGUUUGAGGGUUUUUUUUUUUUUUAAGUAUAUACUCCGUGACAGCUUCUAAUACAACAAGGAAAGGCUCUUAGGUAAGCAAAAGAUGAUCUGCAUGUAGACUCAAAAGCAAGAGUGUUUAUAGCCAGCUCUAGGAGCAGGCUGUGAUGGUGACCUUUUAUGUCACAACACAGGCAAACUCGAGCAGGUGACGCCUGUGAAAGAUUUAAUGUCUGCUCUGUGGAAAUGUUUCUUUUAUGCAGGCACGGGGUUUAAUCACUUUUGUCAACAUUUAAUAGAUCCUAUUUUUACUUACAUAGAGGUUGGAGCAAAUAAGAAAAUCUAUUUAAUCUAGAGUUCUAAUAUAUCAGGCUCUGCCUUUGAGGAGAGUCACAGUGUCCUUUCCUAUCCAGGUGUAUAAAUUUACCUUAUGACAUUACUUGACUUUAGUGUAAUAACACCAAAUUUCUAUUUAUUAGCUGGGCUAUUUUCAGUUUUAAGUAACUAAAAACCCAAUCAAAUUCAUUCAAAGAACAAAAAAGCUGCGUUGGCCUGGUUAACUGCUAAGUCCAGAAAGGCAGAGUGGCUUCAGGCAUGGUUUCCUUCAAGUGUGGAUUUUUACUAAACUAAAGCCUUCCAGGUGAGCCUGAAGCACCCAGGACAGAAGCAUCACCCUGGAGUGUGUGAUCCUGGGGACAGUUUGGAAAUGGAAACUGUUACUUAAACACUGGCCAAAGGUCUUUUCUCUCUUUAGCUGGAGCAGCAGAGGAGUUUUUUUUUUAAGUAGUAGCUGAUAUCAAUGAACGAACACAG